GAGGGUGCGAGCGUUAAUCGGAUUUACUGGGCGUAAAGCGUGCGUAGGCGGCUUUUUAAGUCGGAUGUGAAAUCCCCGAGCUUAACUUGGGAAUUGCAUUCGAUACUGGGAAGCUAGAGUAUGGGAGAGGAUGGUAGAAUUCCAGGUGUAGCGGUGAAAUGCGUAGAGAUCUGGAGGAAUACCGAUGGCGAAGGCAGCCAUCUGGCCUAAUACUGACGCUGAGGUACGAAAGCAUGGGGAGCAAACAGGAUUAGAUACCCUGGUAGUCCAUGCCGUAAACGAUGUCUACUAGCCGUUGGGGCCUUUGAGGCUUUAGUGGCGCAGCUAACGCGAUAAGUAG
rnacentral:rRNA from 1 species